AAAGAACAACAGGGGAGCUCCGUAGUGCCGGGGCUGAGAUGAAGGGCGCAAGUCCUCGAACCCUCAAGCUGAUCUGGGUAAUGCCAGCGGAGCGAGGUGAACAUGUUUUCCG
rnacentral:ncRNA from 2 species